AGUAGCUUUGGCGCAAGCUGUACCCGCGUCGACAAGAUAUAAGAAUAAGUGGUGUGUCAACAUGUUUGGCGUGCUAACCGAGUGAACAAAAUAGCCGCAAAGAAGUCAACAGUCUUCAAUAUAAGAACAUCCGAUCUUGAAAACCUCGACAGCGCAUGGGAAUCUACGUCGGCUUCUUCCAUUAAUUUCUGGAUCGGAAAAUCAUCCAAGAAGUUGCAGAUAAACAAGGUAACCGAUGCCCCGCUCAAACUUUAUACCAGAUCUUGGAUGGUCUUAAGCGCCACCCUGAGAACACUUUUCACCGAACAGAUGUUAAUUACUAUAAUUUACUUCUAGUUGUAGGUUCUAUAACCUACCUAUUGUAACUUGAUCAAUGAUUAAGGCGAGGACAAAAUAAAG